rfam:Manacus vitellinus contig25634, whole genome shotgun sequence.
CCUUUGAUAGCUCAGCUGGUAGAGCAGAGUACUGUAGGCUGUCUCUAGAAAGUAAUCCUUAGGCCGCUGGUUCAACUCUGGCUCAAAGAA